CCUACGGGUGGCAGCAGUGGGGAAUAUUGGACAAUGGGGGGAACCCUGAUCCAGCCAUGCCGCGUGUGUGAAGAAGGCCCUCGGGUUGUAAAGCACUUUCAGUGAGGAAGAACGCCUGGUGGUUAAUACCCAUCAGGAAAGACAUCACUCACAGAAGAAGCACCGGCUAACUCCGUGCCAGCAGCCGCGGUAAUACGGAGGGUGCGAGCGUUAAUCGGAAUUACUGGGCGUAAAGCGCGCGUAGGUGGCUUGAUAAGCCGGUUGUGAAAGCCCCGGGCUCAACCUGGGAACGGCAUCCGGAACUGUCAAGCUAGAGUGCAGGAGAGGAAGGUAGAAUUCCCGGUGUAGCGGUGAAAUGCGUAGAGAUUGGGAGGAAUACCAGUGGCGAAGGCGGCCUUCUGGACUGACACUGACACUGAGGUGCGAAAGCGUGGGUAGCAAACAGGAUUAGAUACCCUAGUAGUC
rnacentral:rRNA from 1 species